CAUUAAGAAGCUAAAAGCACUAGCCUUUUAAGCUAGAGACUGAGAGCAAUUAACUCUCCUUAAUGA
rnacentral:tRNA from 1 species